rnacentral:rRNA from 1 species
CUCAACCGUGGAGGGUCAUUGGAAACUGGAGAGCUUGAGUGCAGGAGAGGAAAGCGGAAUUCCAUGUGUAGCGGUGAAAUGCGUAGAGAUAUGGAAGAACACCAGUGGCGAAGGCGGCUUUCUGGCCUGCAACUGGCGCUGAGGCGCGAAAGCGUGGGGAGCGAACAGGAUUAGAUACCCUGGUAGUCCACGCCGUAAACGAUGAGUGCUAGGUGUUAGGGGUUUCGAUGCCCUUAGUGCCGCAGCUAACGCAUUAAGCACUCCGCCUGGGGAGUACGGCCGCAAGGCUGAAACUCAAAGGAAUUGACGGGGGCCCGCACAAGCAGUGGAGCAUGUGGUUUAAUUCGAAGCAACGCGAAGAACCUUACCAGGGCUUGACAUCCCGCUGACCGGUAUAGAGAUAUACCUUUUCUUCGGAACAGC